GUUCCGGGCCGCCAUGUUCUCGGUGGGUCUGGCGCAGGCGGUUUCCCGGAUAUGGGCAGUUCCCGGCCACCUUUGCGCGUAGUCCCUGCUGCUCCCCCCGCCCCCCUGGAUUGGAAUGAAAGGCGCCGUUUCUGGUUGGCUGAUCCCUGAGGAUCCCGCUCCCCUCCCAGCCGCCCCCACUUCUGAGUGCAGAGUUGUUUGGUGCACGCAGAAUAAUCUGAUAUAGCCACGCCAGGGCGGCGGCGUUCUUAUCAGCGGGGUUCCGGGCAGGAAGGCCUCCAGGGAGUGGAGUCAUUUUGCAGUGCUCAGCCCUGCGUGUCAUGGUUUGUGGCUGCCCACACUGACACAGUCACCUGUCUGUCACACGCCACUGAAAUUCCGCUGCGGCGCAAAUUCCAUGCCUCAUACGGAACCGGUUCAGAAGGCUCCAUUGCCUUGGUGGUAAAUCAAACCCGGGUUGGCAUUGAGUGGGGUCCGAAGCAAGAUAACUAUAUGUCACUUUCUCUGCGGACUGUGAAGUUCCUCACGCGUCCUCUACCGUACAUCCCUCACCCCACAGUCAUUCACAGCUGGCAGCAUGAGGGCAGACGGCCAUAUGGUGGCUUAAACAAGUCUUUAA